CCUACGGGGGGCAGCAGUGGGGAAUAUUGCACAAUGGGCGCAAGCCUGAUGCAGCCAUGCCGCGUGUGUGAAGAAGGCCUUCGGGUUGUAAAGCACUUUCAGCGGGGAGGAAGGCGUUAAGGUUAAUAACCUUGUCGAUUGACGUUACCCGCAGAAGAAGCACCGGCUAACUCCGUGCCAGCAGCCGCGGUAAUACGGAGGGUGCAAGCGUUAAUCGGAAUUACUGGGCGUAAAGCGCACGCAGGCGGUCUGUCAAGUCGGAUGUGAAAUCCCCGGGCUCAACCUGGGAACUGCAUUCGAAACUGGCAGGCUAGAGUCUUGUAGAGGGGGGUAGAAUUCCAGGUGUAGCGGUGAAAUGCGUAAAGAUCUGGAGGAAUACCGGUGGCGAAGGCGGCCCCCUGGACAAAGACUGACGCUCAGGUGCGAAAGCGUGGGGAGCAAACAGGAUUAGAUACCCGAGUAGUC
rnacentral:rRNA from 1 species